AUGCCAGUUAAAUGCGUCUGCUCAACUUGAAAAUGUUCCGCAGAGCAUAUUUUAAAAUAAAGCUGGUAAAAUAAAGCCACAGUACGAGCCUUGAAGACUUUGUUGUCUUUGAGGUCCCAAGAGAUGGCUACAUCU
rnacentral:snoRNA from 1 species